rnacentral:rRNA from 1 species
CACGUAGGGUGCGAGCGUUGUCCGGAAUUAUUGGGCGUAAAGAGCUCGUAGGCGGUGUGUCGCGUCGGCCGUGAAAACCUGCAGCUUAACUGUGGGCUUGCGGUCGAUACGGGCAUCACUGGAGUUCGGCAGGGGAGACUGGAAUUCCUGGUGUAGCGGUGAAAUGCGCAGAUAUCAGGAGGAACACCGGUGGCGAAGGCGGGUCUCUGGGCCGUAACUGACGCUGAGGAGCGAAAGCGUGGGGAGCGAACAGG